AUAUUUACGUGGCAGGGGAGAUACCAUGAUCACAAAGGUGGUUUUUCCAGGGCCAGACUUAUCCAUUGCAUUCCGGAUGUGCUGACCCCUGCGAUUUCCCUAAAUGUGUGGUAGUGGGGGACUGCGUUCGCGCUUUCUCUUG
rnacentral:snRNA from 1 species